rnacentral:piRNA from 1 species
UUUAUCAGAGGACUACAUCGUGUGA